CCCUGGUUAGCUCAAUUGGUAGAACGCUCCACCUGUAAUGGAGAGGUCCCGGGUUCGAUACCCGGACCAGGCG
rnacentral:tRNA from 1 species